GCGCAAAUAGCUUAAUGGUAGAGUGUUGGCAUUCCAGCCAAAGGUUGUGGUUCGAGUCCAUGUUUGCGCU
rnacentral:tRNA from 1 species